rnacentral:lncRNA from 1 species
CUACUCUAUACCUUCCAAUGAUUACAGAUAAUCUUCUUACCUGAGCUUUCAAGUCCCUAGCCUCAUACCUUUAUUCAAGAAGAUAUGCUUUUGCUCAACCCCUUAUUUUAGGAUCAACCUAUGCCAAAUACUCGUAAUAGGAAUCAUUUUGUGACUAACAAAUGUCCACAAAUAUUAUCCCAGUUAAAGAACCCAUAGCAGCAUAAUUCAACACUUAGAUAAUUGCAAACAUAAAUCCAAGACAUCGGUCAUACUCAUCUGAUAGUUUGGA